rnacentral:rRNA from 1 species
CAGGCCUAACACAUGCAAGUCGAACGAGAAAGUGGAGCAAUCCAUGAGUAAAGUGGCGCACGGGUGAGUAACACGUGACUAACCUACCCUCGAGUGGGGAAUAACCUCGGGAAACCGAGGCUAAUACCGCAUAACAUCGCAAGAUCAAAGCAGCAAUGCGCUGGAAGAGGGGGUCGCGGCUGAUUAGCCAGUUGGCGGGGUAACGGCCCACCAAAGCGAAGAUCGGUAGCCGGCCUGAGAGGGCGCACGGCCACACUGGAACUGAAACACGGUCCAGACUCCUACGGGAGGCAGCAGUGGGGAAUUUUGCGCAAUGGGGGAAGCCCUGACGCAGCAACGCCGCGUGGAGGAUGAAGUCCCUUGGGAUGUAAACUCCUUUCGAUCGGGACGAUUAUGACGGUACCGGAAGAAGAAGCACCGGCUAACUCUGUGCCAGCAGCCGCGGUAAUACA